AUGGCAAUGGCCGUGGCGUCGUCGACCAUGGAGGUCGAUCAGGACCUCCCCGGCUUCCGCUUCCACCCCACGGAGGAGGAGCUCCUCGGCUUCUACCUCUCCCGCGUCGCCCUCGGCAAGAAGCUCCACUUCGACAUCAUCGGCACCCUCAACAUCUACCGCCACGAUCCCUGGGAUCUUCCUGGGAUGGCAAAGAUCGGGGAGAGGGAGUGGUACUUCUUCGUGCCGCGUGACCGGAAGGCGGGGAGCGGCGGGCGGCCGAACCGGACGACGGAGCGGGGGUUCUGGAAGGCGACGGGGUCGGACAGGGCCAUCCGGAGCACCGGCGACCACAAACGGGUCAUCGGUCUCAAGAAGACGCUCGUCUUCUACCAGGGGCGCGCGCCGCGCGGCACCAAGACGGACUGGGUCAUGAACGAGUACCGCCUCCCCGACUCCGGCGCGGCGCCACCCCAGGAGGACACGGUGCUAUGCAAGGUGUACCGGAAGGCCACGCCGCUCAAGGAGCUCGAGCAAAGAGCCUUCGAGAUGGAGGAGAUGAAGCAGAGGUCCGGCAGCAACGGUGGGUACGGCUACGGUGGCGCGGCCAGAGCGUGUCCCGUCCCGGCAGCAGGCAACUUCUAUCUGUCGCCGUCCGACGACGUCCAGGACAACUUCCUGAUCCACUCCUCCUCCUCCUCCUCGGUGGCGCCGUCUGGCAACAGCAGCAGCCACGACGCGCCGAGGGAAGCCAAGAAGGAAGCAGACGUCGCCACGGUCACCGUCGCGUCGACGUCGUCUCUGUCGCAAGCGGCGAACGCCCCCUUCCAUCUUCAGCUCCCGGCCGUGAACCCACCCUAUGGCCUCCAGCUACCGGCAGCGAACCAUGGGAUGACGAACAUGUCCAGCCUGCAGCUACCGGCGGCGAGCCAGGGUGUUCUGGACCUGCCCAGCCUGCAACUACCGGCGGCGAGCGGCCACGGAGUGUUCGACUGGCUAAAUGACCCGUUCCUGACGCAGUUGCGCAGCCCGUGGCAGGACCAGCAUUGCAUGUCCCCUUACGCCCAUCUGCUAUACUAG
rnacentral:rRNA from 1 species